rnacentral:sRNA from 1 species
GCCAGAUCUAGGCUCGCUACCGAAAAGCCGACUCCCUCGUCGGCCUGAUCUGGCAUUUAAUUGAGGG